rnacentral:tRNA from 1 species
GGAGAGAUGGCCGAGUGGUCGAUGGCGCACGCCUGGAAAGUGUGUAUACGGCAACGUAUCGAGGGUUCGAAUCCCUCUUUCUCCGCCA